GUCAGCUCGUGUUGUGAAAUGUUGGGUUAAGUCCCGCAACGAGCGCAACCCUUAUCCUUUGUUGCCAGCGAUUCGGUCGGGAACUCAAAGGAGACUGCCGGUGAUAAACCGGAGGAAGGUGGGGAUGACGUCAAGUCAUCAUGGCCCUUACGAGUAGGGCUACACACGUGCUACAAUGGCGUAUACAAAGAGAAGCGACCUCGCGAGAGCAAGCGGAACUCAUAAAGUACGUCGUAGUCCGGAUUGGAGUCUGCAACUCGACUCCAUGAAGUCGGAAUCGCUAGUAAUCGUAGAUCAGAAUGCUACGGUGAAUACGUUCCCGGGCCUUGUACACACCGCCCGUCACACCAUGGGAGUGGGUUGCAAAAGAAGUAGGUAGCUUAACCUUCGGGAGGGCGCUUACCACUUUGUGAUUCAUGACUGGGGUGAAGUCGUAACAAGGUAACCAAGGGCGAAUUCGCGGC
rnacentral:rRNA from 1 species